rnacentral:rRNA from 1 species
ACGGAGGGUGCAAGCGUUAUCCGGAUUCACUGGGUUUAAAGGGUGCGUAGGCGGGCAGGUAAGUCAGUGGUGAAAUCCCCGAGCUUAACUCGGGAACUGCCAUUGAUACUGCUGGACUUGAAUUACCAGGAAGCAACUAGAAUAUGUAGUGUAGCGGUGAAAUGCUUAGAGAUUACAUGGAAUACCAAUUGCGAAGGCAGGUUGCUACUGGUGGAUUGACGCUGAUGGACGAAAGCGUGGGUAGCGAACAGG